GAUCACUGCUGUUCCAAAAUACGAUGCUGUAGCAAUGCUGGCAGUAAUGCAGUAAUAUUAGAACAGUUGUGACAGUGUACAUACUGUCAUGACGUCACAUUUACUGCCAGUAAAAACGGAAUACAACCUGAGUAUCAAAUUGUAAAUGGAAAGCGACGUGUGUCCGUCUGUAUCCAAAGUGUUCUCUAAAAGGAAAGCAGCCUAGGUUAAGGGCGUCGAUCUACAAUAUCUACGAUGUUGGAAGUUAUACAAAUCUCGAAUGGAAUCAAUUAUCAUUAACAGUAUUUUCCCAAGCCUGGGACCUCAUCACACAAGAGAGGAGGAAGGAGGAGGGAUAGAGGAGUAACACCUCUAUAAAAAAUCAGGGUUCACCUGGCCCGGGUGAUAGCACCCUGUAAGGGCCCCUACCUAGGGAACAGGCAAGGCUCAGAGAGGCGAGGGACUUACAAGACUCACUCUGUAUGCACGCGAAAAUUUUUACAUAAAGGGAAAUGGAUAAAAACAAGGAUAUAUAAGGAUACCUGGGUCACAACUUUCUUCGCCGCUACUUUCGUUUGAGCAAACUUUGCGAGACUUGACCUGACUUGAUUUGUUUGUGCUUACUUUUUUGGCCGCAAAUUUUGGUGCCAUAUUAACAAUAUUUUCGUCUGCCGUCGACCACUCUACCGAAUCUCGCUCCGCUUGUUUCGCAGUAGCAUAAUUAUCUACAUAAUUAUAUAAUAAGGUAUAAAAUGUUAACAACAAUAAAGUAAUAGUAACUGGGCUGUCUCCAUACAGAAAUUCAAUAUUGUAAGGUAGCGAUAAGAAAUCAAUGUAAUUACGUGUAAUAAACAAAUAUUGAAUUUCUCUAUGGAGACAGUCCAGUAUGGCAAGCCAUUUUACUUUUUAAUAGCAUAAUA